rnacentral:misc_RNA from 1 species
AAGUCGUAACAAGGUUUCCGUAGGUGAACCUGCGGAAGGAUCAUUAUUGAAUAUUCUUGAUGGGUUGUAGCUGGCUCUUCGGGGCAUGUGCACACUUGUCUUGACUUUAUUCAUCCACCUGUGCACCUUUUGUAGUCUUGUGGGUUGAGAGCAGUCGACUAUCGGAUGGCUAUGGCCUUUCCGGACAUGAGGAAUGCUGAGUGCGAAAGCAUAUAGCUCUUCUCAAAUGACUUGCAAAACUCUCCCUCGAGUGCUAUGUAUUCAUAUACCACAUAGUAUGUUGUCGAAUGUGAUCAAUGGGCCUAUGUGCCUAUAAAAUCAUAUACAACUUUCAGCAACGGAUCUCUUGGCUCUC